rnacentral:rRNA from 1 species
CNNNAUGUGUUUUUUAUUGAAACAAAUUUCUUUGGUGGCGGGAGCAAUCCUACCGCCAGAGGUUAUAACUAAACCAAACUUUUUAUUUACAGUCAAACUUGAUUUAUUAUUACAAUAGUCAAAACUUUCAACAACGGAUCUCUUGGUUCUCGCAUCGAUGAAGAACGCAGCGAAAUGCGAUACGUAAUAUGAAUUGCAGAUAUUCGUGAAUCAUCGAAUCUUUGAACGCACAUUGCGCCCUUUGGUAUUCCAAAGGGCAUGCCUGUUUGAGCGUCAUUUCUCCCUCAAACCCCCGGGUUUGGUGUUGAGCAAUACGCUAGGUUUGUUUGAAAGAAUUUAACGUGGAAACUUAUUUUAAGCGACUUAGGUUUAUCCAAAAACGCUUAUUUUGCUAGUGGCCACCACAAUUUAUUUCAUAACUUUGACCUCAAAUCAGGUAGGACUACCCGCUGAACUUAAGCAUAUCAAUAA